rnacentral:rRNA from 1 species
ACGGAAGGCAGCAGUGAGGAAUAUUGGUCAAUGGACGGAAGUCUGAACCAGCUAAGUCGCGUGAAGGAUGAAGGUAUUAUGUAUUGUAAACUUCUUUAGCAGUGGAGUAAUAAGGGGAUCGCGAUCCCUGAUGCAAGUACACUGAGAAUAAGGAUCGGCUAACUCCGUGCCAGCAGCCGCGGUAAUACGGAGGAUCCGAGCGUUAUCCGGAUUUAUUGGGUUUAAAGGGUGCGCAGGCGGCUUUUUAAGUCAGUGGUUAAAUCGUGACGCUCAACGUCAUCACGCCAUUGAUACUGGAGAGCUUGGUUGCGGUCGAGGUUUGCGGAAUUCGUUGUGUAGCGGUGAAAUGCAUAGAUAUGACGAAGAACACCGAUUGCGUAGGCAGCAGACCAGGCCGUAAAUGACGCUCAUGCACGAAAGUGCGGGGAUCGAACAGGAUUAGAUACCCUGGUA